rnacentral:tRNA from 1 species
GGCAGAGUGAUCUGGUAGAAAGUGGUUGGAUCUGGGAUUCAGGAGACCUGGGUUCUAACCCCAGCUCUGCCA